GCCUAGCCUUUGGAUGUGAAUCCGUUGGGCCAGUGGCCACUUAAAUAAAAUCCUCCUCUUCUACCUAUUGGUCUCUCCAGUCCUCUGAUUCCUGAAACAUUUUCUGGGGGCUCGCCCGGGAUUGGAGACGAAAGGUUUACUGUCUCUUCGCCUGUGAGACUGGAGCCCCAGGCCGGGAGAGACCUGUGACCCCAGGCGCCACUGGGAGAACUUCAACCCAGAGGGGUGAUCAGCUCUCCCUUGACCCUACCUGACAGCACAAUGGAACCUAAGCAGGAACAGGAUGAUUCCAGGAACAGUGCACUACAGGAUUGUGUUGCAGGAACUGUGCCUUGGAUCCACCACAGUCAGCUGAAACCAGCAGCCCAAGACAAGUGGACCAGCCAACAGGACCCAGACCAUCUGACCCAGCUGAUCCUACGGUGGGACCAGGUUGCCAGUGAAGUCAACAGCCUUGCUCUGGUCACCCUGGAAGCUGACCAGUCUAUGCACGGCUGAAGCUUGAGGAGACAACAGCCCGGCUCUAGUCACCCCAGAAGCUGACUAGUCUAUGCACGGCUGAAGCGUGAGCACCAUCAGGGAAGUAAAUGUGGUUAGAAUUCUUAGGUCCAAUAGCUUUCCUUAUAAUACUAAUUGUUUUACUAUUAUCCUGUCUCUUUAUCCAACCUCCUCCUGGGGGCAAAGACCUCUUUUGUCCCUGCUGGGUAUAAACAUGCUACUCUUUACUUUGUUGCUACUCAUCCCCAUCAUGGCACUCCUCAUACCAGUGUCAGAAAAUGGACUCAUAGAAGGGUGCCCCCACUGCAUACAUACUACGCGGUCGGGGAGCACCAUAACUAGGACUCUGCUGUACUAUAUUUAUUAUGAGUGCGCAGGGAGCCACUUAGGAACUUGUGCUCAUAACCAGGUAACCUAUUCAAUCUGUGACCCAGGAAAUAGCCAGCCCUACAUAUGUUAGGACCCUAAGUCCCCACCUAUUGAGACUUGGUUUGAAGUUCAUACUAAGGAAGGGGAUCUUCCAAACCAAAUCAAAGCCUCUUCCCCUUAUGGGGAGGUCAUAUCCUUAUACUUCAAUGUUUGCCAGGAGGUAGCAAUCCUGUAGUGGUCCAUUAUCAUUGGCCCCACAGGGCACUAUGGUACUUGUUCCAAGCAAAAAUGUGUGCCCCGUUUGUUCCUCUAGGUCCCCGUUAAUAGCCCGCUGGAGCUGCAUGACUUGGUCCACUUAUCAACAACCACCAAGGCAAGUCAUACAUAUGAAACUACUGGAAAAACCAACUCAUAAACCUAGCAUUUGCUAUCCUGCACAUCUCACCAUCUUAGAGCCAGGUCUGCCCAUAUGGACUACAGGCUAUCCCAGGACACUGGGGUUCAAAGUCAAAGGUCAAAAAGUAAACUCAGAAGUCAGUCUGUAUAUUAUAAAGAAAACCUGGACCGAUUCAACCCAACAGUUCCGAGUUUUUGAGUCAUUCUAUGAGCACAUCCACCAGGAGUUGCCUGAAUCCUCUCCCUUGGCCAGCAACCUGUUUGCCCAACUGGCUGAAAACAUAGUCAGUAGCCUACAUGUCUCCUCAUGCUAUGCAUGUGGAGGAACCAUCAUAGGGGAUCAAUGGCAGUAGGAAGCAAAGGAGCUAAUGCCCCAAGGUAACUUUACUCUGACUGUCCUCUCCCCUGAACCAACAUUCACAAGCUUGAGCGUCUGGCCCUUAAAAAAUCUCUAUUAUCGGGAGAUUCUGCAUUGUUCGCUGGGGAAAGGCCUUUACCAACUGGGUAGGAUAGAAUUAACUUGCCUAGGACAGCAAUAUUACAAUGAAACAACAGGAAAGACUUUAUGGUGGGGCAGGAUAAAUAAUUCCAAAUCACCCCACCCUAGUCCAUUCUCCUGUUUCCCCUCUUUACAUCACUCUUGGUACCAGCUUGAAACUCCAAAUGCCUGGCAGGCACCCUCUGGCCUCUACUGGAUCUGUGGGUCAUGGGCAUAUGGGCAGCUGCCAGAGGCCUGUGUACUAGGGACAAUCAGACCAUCCUUCUGCCUAAUCCCUCUAAGGCAAGGAGAAGCCUUAGGAUACCCUGUUUAUGAUGAAACAAAAAGGAGAAAUAAAAGGGGCAUAACCAUAGGAAUUAGAAAGAUGAUGAAUGGCCCCCUGAGAGAAUAAUCCAAUAUUAUGGGUCAGCCACCUGGGCGGAAGAUGGAAUGUAUGGAUACUGUACCUCUAUUUACAUGCUCAACUGCAUCAUAACGUUAUAGGCAGUGCUUGAAAUCAUGACUAAUGUCGCUGCAAGGGCCUUAAAUCUACUGGCCUAACAAGCCACAAAAACGAGAAAUGCUAUUUCUCAAAAUAGACUGGCUUUAGACUAGUCUCAUAGCCCAGGAAGGUGGGGUAUGCAGAAAGUUCAAUGUAACUAAUUGCUGCCUAGAAAUUGAUGACAAUGGAAAGGUCAUUGAAGAUAUAACUGCAAAAAUCCAAAAAUUAGCCCAUGUUCCAGCCCAGACUUAGAAAGGAUGGUCUCCAGAUACCCUCUUCGGGGGCUGGUUUUCAUCCCUCAGAGGAUUUAAAACCUUAAUAGGAAUAGUCCUGGCCAUACUAGGAGGUUGCUUAAUACUCCCUUGUCUCUUACCCCUCCUUGUUAAAAACAUCCAAUCGGCCAUAGAGACUCUUGUAACCAGGCAAACUACCACUCAGCUAAUGGCUCUAACUAAAUAUCAACCUUUGUCAAAGGAAGAAACCUGCCUUUUCAUGAAGAAUUAAGUGAUAGAGAUGCUUUCCAUUAAACUUCAUUUACAGGGAGCAUCAAAGGGGGGAAUGAAGCCGAAAUUAAAAAGAGGAAAACAAGUUUUCCUGUACUUAGCUGACUCACUCCAAGGCCAGCAAUAGGCAGGGCCCUGACAAAGCCUUGAAAACACUAUCUGGAAAGCCAGAGCCCAAAGGAAGGAGCUCCAGAGACUCUCCCAACACCCACUCAGAGCAAAGUUAAGAAAAACAAAUUCCUUUACUAUCUCCUCAUGCCCCUUACCAUUACUCAAUUUCCAGGUUUUAUAAGCUCCUGCUUUUCUUUCAAUGCAGCUGCAAGGUCACAAGCUAUGCUAAGGAUUACAAAAUCUGUCACUGUUUGAUUCAAACUGCCUUUGUUCUGCCUCUGUAAGCCUCCUUGCCUGUACCACGAGUUUUGUGCCAUUUAAAUUAGCCAACACCCUUUCAGAAGUGUGUAUAAAAGUCAAGCCCUGUCUUUGUUUGGGACCUAGCCUUUGGAUGUGAAUCUGUUGGGCCAGUGGCCACUUAAAUAAAAUCCUCCUGUUCCAUCCA